CCCACUAUGGUUCAGUGGUUAAACCAUCCAUCCCGAUCAAUUUCGGCGAUUCGGAGGUCGGAGGUUCGAAUCCUCUUAGUGGCA